ACACAACAAGAGUUGUAUUUCUUUCCCUACUAUUGGCUCGCUUGGGGUGGCUGGGUUGUUUUUCCAGCAGCUUCACGAACUUCUCCUCCCUAGUUUAACUCCGAAAGCAAUACUUGUCCUGCAUUUGCUUUCUUUUAAAGCAGGCGAAGCCAGAUGAACGGUGAAAACACCUGGGGGACAAUCAAACAAGACUGUAUAAACAUCACCACAGAGCUGAGGUGCCCGGCUUGCCGUGCCCUGGAGGUAUUGACGUCUCCACUAACACACUCAGCAUUCAAACAGUAUGCGCUGAAAAACCCUCUGAAGAGCUGCAACCAAUCACAGAUUUCGUCUAUACCUCACGGCAGUGACACUGAAGCCCCAGCAUUUUGGCGAGGGGUCCGGCACUUUGCAGAAGACGGGAGUGCUGAAGAGCGCAUGGGAGGCACGUUCAUUCCUCUGCAUGCUGCAGCUCGCGCAGGGAGCUCCAUCACUCCUGCAUCUGCUGCCUGGAUCCUCCUCGCCCCUGCACCGAGAGCUGAGUAACACAUCCAGUAGUGAUGAAGCACGCGAUGUCACGGAGCUGCUGGAUGCCUGUGUCGUGAUGGCCAUAACUUGUAAGCGAGGCAGCGGCACAACAGCAUAGAUCAUACGGACUGCCGGGCUGUCGGUCUGAAAUCAAUAACCUCCCUGGCCAGGGCCCGACAUCACAGCCUGCAGGAUCAAUUUGGAGCAUGACUCGAUAGCCGUGCUGCUGUGAGCUCUUUGCGAGUCCCAGCGGUGAUUUCAGAGCCAGGCUAAGCGCAGAGCCUUGCACCCCGCUGACAGGGGCAAGUCCGGCACAGCGCGGAGCAGCAGCCAGCCCCAGCCCUUCCCUGGCUGUGAGCACCUCACCACACAGCACUGCUCACUGUGCCCAGCUGCAGGGAGGAGGCUGUUCUCCAGGCACUUUCCUGCCUGUAACCCUAAUCAGACCCCCACCACCCCCAGAAACACAAACUCCUGAUUUCCUAAGAACGUCCCUGUGCAUCCAGGGGAAACCAUUAACAAAGGUCCGCUGCUGCAAGGCCCUGUCCUAAGAGUCCUGCUGAGCCGCCAGCCCACGCUGCACCCUGACAUCAGUGCUGGGGAGUCAGGAAGGAACUUCCCUCACUUAAUACCUUAAACUCUGCCUUCCACGGGCAGUAAUCGCAUGAAAUUGGUCAGAUUUUGUUUUGGGGUUCUUUUUUUCACCCCUCACAGUUGUUUUCAGUCCAAGAAACCAGAAAGACAGCAGUAAAAAUAACUGACCCUGCUCAUUUUCCUCUGUCCAAGUCCCAAGAAUUGCAAAUUUGGACCAGCUUCGAUGCAAAUACAUAUCACAGUUGAAAAAUCAUCGUUUUUAUUAAUGUUCUCUGUAAUUAUGGGAGGUAAAAUUAUUUAUGUAGCGAAGUCUACCCACAAGCCUUAAUAAAAUACGUGAUGAAUCUU